rnacentral:lncRNA from 1 species
CUGAGUUCUUUUUUCUGCAGAAAAGGAAAAGAAGGUCCAGAGAAGGUAAGUUGCUUUUCCCAAGCUCGCACACAUAGUAGAAUUCCAAUAUUGCCACAUUCCUCUUCCUUCUCUUCCCUCUCUCCCUUCACCUUAUUUCCAAUUUCUUCCCCUUAACUCACUCUUCUUCAAGACCUUUCCUCCUUUUCCCCUGCCCUUGCCAAAAAAAAAAAAAGCCUAGAUUUUACUUCAGAAAACCCAAGUUCAAACCAAGGCUCUGUAAUUCACUAUCUUUGUAACCUUGGUUAGGCAACUAGGUGGUCCAGUGGAUGGAAUGCUGGACCUGGAAUUAUGAAGACCUAUUUUCUUGAGUUCUCAGACAACAAAAUACAAGGUCCUGGGCAAGUCACUUAACCCUGUUUGCUACAGUUCCCUCAACUGUAAAAUAGCUGAAAUAAUGGGAAAUUACUACAGUAUCUUUGCAAAAAAAACACCAAAUGAGGUCAUGAAGAGUUGGACACCCUUGAUAUGACUGAAUUACAACAACAAGAAUGUUAGGUGACAUAAAGUAGGGAGGACUAGCUAAUACAAUGGAUGACCAAGUCAAGAUUCAAAAAGACUUUGACGGGCUUGAGCUCUGGGCUAAAAACCUAAUGAGAUGAAGCCUAAUAAAGACUACCCCAAACUACCAAACCUGAGGACAGACAGCAAUUGCCAGAUCCAUGAAUUAUCCCUUCUAGAGGAACAUGAGACCCUGACUUUCUCUCAAAUCAAGAAUUCUUCAACUUCAUCAUGUCAUGGACCCCUCUGGAGGUCUGAUGAAGCCUAUGGAUCUCUUCUCAUUUUAAAAUAAAAUAAACUACAUAAGAUCAC